AUCUAGUCACUAGUUUUGGCAAAGGUAGGACCUCAAGGGCCAUAGGUAUUGAUGGCCGACUAUGGUGAGCCUUAGAUCGGUGGACUUGGAGCUGGAGGGAUUCAGAGUGGCCAUGUGGAUUGUUUAAAAUAAGUGUUUACGCCUUCACUUUUAUUUUAGAUUAUUUCUUUUAUGUUUUUGGGUUUUUAAUUUGUAAUAAGGCCGUUUUAAUUAUUUUAGUAUAUUUUGUUAGCUUA